GACGAACGCUGGCGGCGUGCUUAACACAUGCCAGUCGAACGGAAAGGCCCUGCUUUUGUGGGGUGCUCGAGUGGCGAACGGGUGAGUAACACGUGAGUAACCUGCCCUUGUCUUUGGGAUAACUUCAGGAAACUGGGGCUAAUACCGGAUAGGAGCUCCUGCUGCAUGGUGGGGGUUGGAAAGAUUCGGCGGUUGGGGAUGGACUCGCGGCUUAUGAGCUUGUUGGUGGGGUAGUGGAUUACCAAGGCUUUGAAGGGUAGCCCGCCUGAGAGGGUGACCGGCCACAUUGGGACUGAGAUACGGCCCAGUAUCCUACGGGAGGCAGCGGUGGGGAAUAUUGCACAAUGGGCGGAAGCCUGAUGCAGCAGCGCCGCGUGCGGGAUACCGGCCUUCGGGUUGUAAACCGCUUUCGCCUGAGACGAAGCGUGAUUGACGGUAAUGGGUAAAGAAGCACCGGCUAACUACGUG
rnacentral:rRNA from 1 species